GAUGAACGCUGGCGGCGUGCUUAACACAUGCAAGUCGAACGAUGAAGCCCAGCUUGCUGGGUGGAUUAGUGGCGAACGGGUGAGUAACACGUGAGUAACCUGCCCUUAACUCUGGGAUAAGCCUGGGAAACUGGGUCUAAUACCGGAUAGGAGCGUCCACCGCAUGGUGGGUGUUGGCAAGCUUUAUCGGUUUUGGAUGGACUCGCGGCCUAUCAGCUUGUUGGUGAGGUAAUGGCUCACCAAGGCGACGACGGGUAGCCGGCCUGAGAGGGUGACCGGCCACACUGGGACUGAGACACGGCCCAGACUCCUACGGGAGGCAGCAGUGGGGAAGAGUGCACAAGGGGCGAAAGCCGGAUGCAGCGACGCCGCGUGAGGGAUGACGGCCUGCGGGUUGUAAACCUCUUUCAGUAGGGAAGAAGCGAAAGUGACGGUACCUGCAGAAGAAGCACCGGCGAACUACGGG
rnacentral:rRNA from 1 species